AUUGAACGCUGGCGGCAUGCCUUACACAUGCAAGUCGAACGGCAGCACAGGAAGUUCCACCUGGUACCGAUUGCGGGAGGCGGAAGUGUUACAUCGGAACCUGUACCGUCUUGGUCGAUAGCCAUACCGAAGCCAGAUUAAUACUACAAACGAAUACCACAUGCAGGCGGGAGCCGUGCAUGUCUCGCGCUAUCGCGUUUGCCGAUGGCGGAUUAGCUAGUUGGUGGGGUAAAGGCCUACCAAGGCGACGAUCAGUAGCUGGUCUGAGAGGACGAUCAGCCACACUGGAACUGAGACACGGUCCAGACUCCUACGGGAGGCAGCAGUGGGGAAUAUUGGACAAUGGGCGAAAGCCUGAUCCAGCAAUGCCGCGUGUGUGAAGAAGGCCUUCGGGUUGUAAAGCACUUUUGUUCGGAAAGAAAAGCUGGGCUUUAAUACAGUCGGGGUAUGACGGUACCGGAAGAAUAAGCACCGGCUAACUACGUG
rnacentral:rRNA from 1 species